GACGAACGCUGGCGGCGUGCUUAACACAUGCAAGUCGAACGGUGAACUCCGCUUGCGGGGGGAUCAGUGGCGAACGGGUGAGUAACACGUGGGCAACCUGCCCUCAGCUCUGGGAUAACUCCAAGAAAUUGGGGCUAAUACCGGAUAUGACCGCUGACCGCAUGGUCUGGUGGUGGAAAGAUUUAUCGGCUGGGGAUGGGCCCGCGGCCUAUCAGCUUGUUGGUGGGGUAGUGGCCUACCAAGGCGACGACGGGUAGCCGGCCUGAGAGGGUGACCGGCCACACUGGGACUGAGACACGGCCCAGACUCCUACGGGAGGCAGCAGUGGGGGAUAUUGCGCAAUGGGCGAAAGCCUGACGCAGCGACGCCGCGUGGGGGAUGACGGCCUUCGGGUUGUAAACCUCUUUCAGCAGGGACGAAGCGAAAGUGACGGUACCUGCAGAAGAAGCACCGGCCAACUACGUG
rnacentral:rRNA from 1 species